rnacentral:rRNA from 1 species
AUUGAACGCUAGCGGGAUGCUUUACACAUGCAAGUCGAACGGAGUGGCGGACGGGUGAGUAAUAUAUCGGAACGUGCCCAGUAGCGGGGGAUAACUACUCGAAAGAGUAGCUAAUACCGCAUACUAUUAGAUCUGCCGAUAUGGGAGUAGCUGGUUGGUUGGGUAACGGCUAACCAAGGCAACGAUCCGUAGCUGGUUUGAGCGGACGACCAGCCACACGGGGACGGAGACACGGCCCAGAGUCCUACGGGAGGCAGCAGUGGGGAAUUUUGGACAAUGGGGGAAACCCUGAUCCAGCCAUCCCGCGUGUAUGAAGAAGGCCUUCGGGUUGUAAAGUACUUUUGGCCGGGAAGCGGUAUCUGCAGAAUAAGCACCGGCUAACUACGUGCCAGCAGCCGCGGUAAUUC